UACGUAGGGGGCUAGCGUUGUCCGGAAUCAUUGGGCGUAAAGAGCGCGUAGGCGGCCAGAUAAGUCCGGUGUGAAAGUCAAAGGCUCAACCUUUGAAUGCCGCUGGAAACUGUCUGGCUAGAGUCCGGGAGGGGCGAGUGGAAUUCCUGGUGUAGCGGUGAAAUGCGCAGAUAUCAGGAGGAACACCGAUGGCGAAGGCAGGUCUCUGGGCCACUACUGACGCUGAGAAGCGAAAGCAUGGGGAGCGAACAGG
rnacentral:rRNA from 1 species